rnacentral:rRNA from 1 species
AGGACGAACGCUGGCGGCGUGCUUAACACAUGCAAGUGGAGCGACGAACCGGGGCUUGCCCCGGGGCAGAGCCGCGAACGGGUGAGUAACACGUGGGUCACCUGCCUCAAUGACCGGGACAACCCGAGGAAACUCGGGCUAAUACCGGAUGUGCCCGCAAGGGGAAAGGAAGCUUCGGCCUCCGCAUUGAGAUGGGCCCGCGGCCCAUUAGCUUGUUGGUGAGGUAACGGCUCACCAAGGCUUCGAUGGGUAGCUGGUCUGAGAGGACGAUCAGCCACACUGGGACUGAGACACGGCCCAGACUCCUACGGGAGGCAGCAGUGGGGAAUCUUGCGCAAUGCGCGAAAGCGUGACGCAGCAACGCCGCGUGGGGGAAGAAGGCUUUCGGGUGUAAACCCUUUCAGUUGGGACGAAGCUUCUCCGGUGAAUAGCCGGAUGGAGUGACGGUACCUUCACAAGAAGCACCGGCUAACUACGUGCCAGCAGCCGC